CAUACUAAAAGCAAAAAUGGUAUGGUCAUGUUAAAAAUUAACCUUGAGAAGGCCUUUGAUCGACUCGAAUGGUCCUUCGUCCACCGUGUUUUACUUUACUUCAAGUUUCCUCCAAAAAUUUGCAAACUCAUUAUGAGUUGUAUUACCACCUCUAGCAUCACUGUCUUAGUUAACGGUAAGCAAACCCCUUACUUCUCUCCCUCUAGGGGAACAAGGCAAGGGGACCCUAUGUCCCCAUACAUCUUCAUAAUGUGUAUGGAACUUCUUUCUGCCUAUAUCAACUACCAGGUGGAUCUUCUCCAGUGGGAUCCGAUCCAACUCUCAAUUCAUGGACCCCUUUUCUUCCACUUAUUUUUUUGCAGAUGACCUAACUUUGAUUACAAAAGGAACCUCCAAAUCCUUACAAACUAUUUCUAGAUGCUUGAAUGACUUUUGCGUUCUUUUUUAUCAAAAAAUAAAUCACACCAAAUCUAAAGUUAUUUACUCUCUUCACUGCAAAGACAUUGUGCAAGAUCUUGUCAAAAACCUAUUGAGUAUAACUCCUUCUCAAUUUGGAAAAUACCUUGGCUUCCCUAUUCUUCCUCAGAAGCCUACACCCAAGGAUUUCCAAUACAUUAUUGAUAACAGGAAGAAAAAGCUCUCCAGCUGGAAAACUCAAUUCAUGACGAUAGUUGAUCGCGUUAGACUAGCUAAGACUACCCUCAACGCCAUCCCGGCUUAUACCAAGCAAUAUUUUCUACUUCCAACGAAGAUCUGCCUCACUAUAGAUAAAAUAUAGAUAUUUUAUCUGGGGGUCCUCUAUCCAUAAACGAAAGAUUCAUUAUGUUGCGUGGGAUAAUAUCACAUCUGCAAAAGAAAAUGGUGGUCUUGGACUGCAAAGCGCUAAAACUAAGAACAAAAUCCUUCUUACAAGCCUUGCACGGAGAAUUCUCACUACCAGCAAGUCCCUGUGGACAAAAACCCUUACCCAAAAAUACAAACACAGAGCCUACUCCAAUUUCCAAUCUAUCAUUUGGAAGAACAUUAUAUUCUUCAGGGAAGCGAACCGGUUGGUCCCCUAAGUCUGGCCUAUCCAUCAAUCUCUGGCAUCAUCGCUGGAUUUCCAAUACUCCUCCCCUUAGAAAUAUGCUUCAUGGUCCUCUUAUGAAAGGAGAAUAUCACCUCAAGCUCUCUAACGGGCUCCGCUUGGGAUUGGUCGAAACUCUCUUUUAAACUACCUCCUGAUUUUUUUUCUAAGGCCUCAAAAAUUAGCUUCACUAAGGAAAUUGGAGACUCCGACAUCCCUUAUUGGAUUCAUACCACCAGCGGUAUCUUUUCUACCCAAUUGGUUAAUGUUGAGGAGGUUGGGGAAUCGAAUGGUCCGUCAUAACUUUCGGGAGGGGUACAAAGUAGCAGACUUUGUGUGCAAGAUAGAUUCUCAGCUAACAAUGACCCCUCAAUCAUAUAUCCCACAUACUCCGCCUGAAGCUGUAAUGGAACUUCUCAAAGCAGAUCAAGAAGGAGUUCUAACUACUAAGCAAAUAUUUAGGUCAUCCUAUAAUAAGUUAGCUAGUUACGGGAACUUAUCUGUAAUCACUAGCUAUAAUAGUAAUCUUGUACUGUUUUAACUAUAUAUUAAUAUAUCCUUUCUACCCAAAAAAAAUGAAAUUCUUCUAUCAAUUAAGACAAUGCUUUUAUACAA